UUGUGACAAUUCUUAGAAUAAUGAAUGGAUGGUGCUACCUUUCCAUCAUAUCUAAGAAAGAAGAAAACAAAUCAAAUAUCAAUUGAAAUUAUUUCCUCUAUCUUGGGUCAUAGAUAUAAAUUACCUACAAUCCCGUGUGAAGUUUAUACUAUGAGAGUAGGUGCUAGAAUAUAUAAGUAGAUGUAAGAGAAUUUGCAUAUGGUUUAUAUCCUUGCCUCACUACCGUUUCCUUUUGGUCAGUAUCUCACUUCCCUAGGAAUUGAGGUAGAGCAUGUUCGUUACCAGCUACUGGAGGUGUUGUCUGUGUGGGUCUGCUAGCUGCGAUAGAGAAGCAAAGUAAGUGGUGCCAUUUAUAUCUAAUAUCGAUCGUUUGAAUUUCUAAUUCUUACAUAUGGGCACCCGUUAUGCUGUCACAUAUGAAAAUGUGAAUACCAAGCUCCAGUACUCGGCUGAUUAGGUGCUGAUGAUCGAGAGUAUCUCUCUCAGAUCAGUGUUGAUUCACUUCUUUCUGCAGCUAGAAAUCAACAGAGGUGCGAUAGGCUGACAUCAUUGAGUUACUUACUUCCUCUCUUCGGUCACUAUCGUAGUCUUGUGUAAUGAUGUGAUGCAAUGCUGAUAGUAAUUCUCGAACCAUUAUAUAGACUAUUGUGUCAUCUAUCUCAGCAUGUUGUUGUUAGCUAUGCCAUGAUUAGAUAACACUUUUAAUCUCAUGCGGGAUGCUGCUUGUUUUUCCAGUGCUAGGUAUGGGAUGCUACUGCUGCUGAUCCGAAUUUACUUGUGCAUCUCAGGUCCUACAGGAACACCAUGUGUGCUCUGAGUCACUGUUCCCAGAAGCACAAGUUCUUGUAGGUUUGUGAGCCUUUAGUAUUUUGGUGUUACUCUGGUAAUCAUAUUCUAUUGAAAUUGAUUGAAAUCAGAUCAUCUCAGCUUCGCUGGCAUUUUCGAGAUGUCCUGAUUUGGAAUUAACAAAAUGUUGUUUUCUCCUUUUACACUUCAUGUAUUGCGGACAUUUUGUUCCACCUAGCAUACUUGCUUCUGUAAAUAAUUUUACUGCUCACUAUGAAGUUAUUGUAAAUAACUAUGGGGUGAGUGGCCACACCGCCGGUUGUGGCGGUGGGGAAAAGCUAACACUUUCGACGAGAAGAGGAGAAUGAGAGGGUUAGGAGGACCGAUCCGGUGACCAAGAAGAAGCCCAAUAGCAACCUUCUUCAGCUCUAGGAGUGGAGAAUGGAGCCAUGGCCUUCAAGACAAUGGUAACAGGGUUGAUGGAGAAGUACGACAGGACCCUGGUUUGACAUUUUUGUGGCAUAUUACUUUCAGCGGUCUAAUAAGAUUUGUGCUUGGUUUUAUUUAUAUACAUUGCUCAUAUUUGUUUGUUUUCCUUUUGAGUUUAUUUCUCUUUGUAAGGAUCGUUGCAUCCUAAUUUCUUGUUGUUUCUCUUGAUCUGUGUGCGAUGAAACCCCGACAUCGGAAAACAUUCUGCUGCAUAUGAUGUUUAUUUAUUAGCAGGGACCUUUUUGAGUUUUUCGUGGGAGGACGCCAAGUAUAACUACCAAGAUACCUGCGAGAACCUCAAGAGCACGAUAUUCCUUGUUGCUUAUUAUGACUGACAUGCCCAAGCCUGGUAUUUCAUCUGGUUCUGCCAGGAUAGGAGAGGAGAUUAGUUCCUUGCGUUUUACCUUCUAGAUAUGUGGUGGCAAGGAUUUGGAAGGUCUAUAUGAGCUCCUCCUUCUGGUGAUGUUAUGCAGUGAGGUGAUGGGAAAGAUCUUGCUUGUCUCUCCACAUCUGGUGUCACAUGCCUAACCGAAGAUCAUAAGCACCAGCUAAACAACUUCCCAUUUUGAUUUAUUUGUCUCUAGGCCAUGGGGCGAUAUCGACAACAGUCCACUCCAGCCAUGCUCCUGAUCCG